UACGUAGGGUGCAAGCGUUGUCCGGAAUUAUUGGGCGUAAAGGGCUCGUAGGCGGUCCGUCACGUCGGGAGUGAAAACUUGGGGCUUAACCCCAAGCCUGCUUCCGAUACGGGCGGACUAGAGGUAGGCAGGGGAGAACGGAAUUCCUGAUGUAGCGGUGAAAUGCGCAGAUAUCAGGAGGAACACCGGUGGCGAAGGCGGUUCUCUGGGCCUUACCUGACGCUGAGGAGCGAAAGCGUGGGGAGCGAACAGG
rnacentral:rRNA from 1 species